rnacentral:misc_RNA from 1 species
CCGUCGCACGCCUGCUCGCACGCGACCGUGUCGCUCGCCCGGGCGUCACGGGGGCGGUCGCCUCGGCCCCCGCGCGGUCGCCCGAACGACCGUGUGGUGGUUGGGGGGGGGAUCGUCUUCUCCUCCGUCUCCCGAGGACGGUUCGUUUCUCUUUCCCCUUCCGUCGCUCUCCUUGGGUGUGGGAGCCUCGUGCCGUCGCGACCGCGGCCCGCCGUCGCCUGCCGCCGCAGCCCCUUGCCCUCCGGCCUUGGCCAAGCCGGAGGGCGGAGGAGGGGGCUCGGCGGCGGCGGCGGUGACCGCGGCGCGGUGACGCACGGUGGGGGUCCCCAUCCUCGGCGCGUCCAUCGGGGACGGCCGGUUGGAGGGGCGGAAGGGCUUUUUCCCGUAAACGCCGCGUUCGGCGCCAGGCCUCUGGCGGCCGGGGGGGCGCUCUCUCCGCCCGAGCAUCCCGACUCCCGCCCCUCCUCUUCGCGCGCCGCGGCGGCGACGUGCGUACGAGGGGAGGGUGUCGCGGUGUGGAGGCGGAGAGGGUCCGGCGCGGCGCCUCUUCCA